CACUCUAAGCGGGGAUCACUCGGCUCAUGGUCGAUGAAGAACGCACCAAACUGGGGUCUUGGGGGAACUCCAGGACACAUGAACAUGGCCAUUUUGAACGCAUAUCCCAGUCCAGGCUGUUUUGUACUUAAAUUAAUUUUAUAGUGCUGCUUGGACUACAUAUGGUUGAGGGUUG
rnacentral:rRNA from 1 species